rnacentral:rRNA from 1 species
AGUGAACGCUGGCGGUAGGCCUAACACAUGCAAGUCGAACGGCAGCACAGUAAGAGCUUGCUCUUACGGGUGGCGAGUGGCGGACGGGUGAGGAAUACAUCGGAAUCUACUUUUUCGUGGGGGAUAACGUAGGGAAACUUACGCUAAUACCGCAUACGACCUACGGGUGAAAGCAGGGGAUCUUCGGACCUUGCGCGAUUGAAUGAGCCGAUGUCGGAUUAGCUAGUUGGCGGCGUAAAGGCCCACCAAGGCGACGAUCCGUAGCUGGUCUGAGAGGAUGACACGCCACAUGGGAACGGAAACAGGGCCCAGACCACGACGGGAGGAACAAGGGGGGAAUAUUGGACAAUGGGGGCAAGCCUGAUCCAGCAAUGCGGCGGGGGGGAAGAAGGCCUCGGGUUGGUAAAGCCUUUUUUUGGGGAAAGAAAAGCAGCAGGUUAAUACCCGGUUGUUGUGAGGGUACCAAAAGAAUAAGACCCGGCUAACUUCGUG